GGAGCUGUAACUCAGCGGGAGAGUGUUUCCUUCACACGGAAGAAGUCGUUGGUUCAAUCCCAAUCAGCUCCA
rnacentral:tRNA from 1 species